UACAGAGGUGGCAAGCGUUGUUCGGAUUUACUGGGCGUAAAGGGUGCGUAGGCGGCUCCGCAUGUCGGGUGUGAAAUCCCACGGAUCAUCUGUGGAACGGCAUUCGAAACUGCGGGGCUAGAGUGCGGGAGAGGAAGGUGGAAUUCUUGGUGUAGCGGUGAAAUGCGUUGAUAUCAAGAGGAACGCCGGUGGUGAAGACGACCUUCUGGAACGCAACUGACGCUGAGGCACGAAAGCUAGGGGAGCAAACAGG
rnacentral:rRNA from 1 species